UACGGAGGGUGCAAGCGUUAUCCGGAUUUACUGGGUUUAAAGGGUGUGUAGGCGGGCUAUUAAGUCAGUGGUGAAAUCUCCGGGCUCAACCUGGAAACUGCCAUUGAUACUAUUAGUCUUGAAUCUUGUUGAGGUUGGCGGAAUAUGUCAUGUAGCGGUGAAAUGCUUAGAUAUGACAUAGAACACCAAUUGCGAAGGCAGCUCACUACACGAAUAUUGACACUGAGGCACGAAAGCGUGGGGAUCAAACAGG
rnacentral:rRNA from 1 species